rnacentral:rRNA from 1 species
CAGCCGCCGCGGUAAUACGUAGGUGGCAAGCGUUGUCCGGAAUUAUUGGGCGUAAAGCGCGCGCAGGCGGUCCUUUAAGUCUGAUGUGAAAUCUUGCGGCUCAACCGCAAGCGGCCAUUGGAAACUGGGGGACUUGAGUGCAGGAGAGGGAAGUGGAAUUCCACGUGUAGCGGUGAAAUGCGUAGAGAUGUGGAGGAACACCAGUGGCGAAGGCGGCUUCCUGGCCUGUAACUGACGCUGAGGCGCGAAAGCGUGGGGAGCAAACAGGAUUAGAUACCCUGGUAGUCCACGCCGUAAACGAUGAGUGCUAAGUGUUAGGGGGUUUCAGCCCCUUAGUGCUGCAGCUAACGCAUUAAGCACUCCGCCUGGGGAGUACGGCCGCAAGGCUGAAACUUAAAGGAAUUGGCGGG